AAUUUUUUUUAUUUUACGUCCUCUUGUUUUUAUGUGGAAGAGUAGCUUAUCUGAUGCGUAGAUUGUAGACCACAAAACUGAAGUGGAGACGUCUCCCUCUGAAUAGGACUGAACCGAACGCUGCCAUGUGCAAACGUGCUGCUUCAUUUUUUCGGGACAGUGUUGAUGCUUCAAUGCUAGAGGUGCCUUGUUUUUUGUUUUUUUGUUUUUUUUUAAAUCCGUGCCUAAGAGAUGUAGGUGACAUGCUUGAAGCUGUUCUACUGACACUGAACAUGAAGGACGCUGAUUCUUCGAUAGUAUUUUCACUGGUCGGUGGCUCGCGUUGAAGUUAACAGCUGAUGCACUUUGAUUUCACCUUUGGCGCUUUGACUCGACGCAACUAUCCAGAUUUAACCUGUUAAAGCUUUGUCGUGUGACAAACAAGGUCAUCGCUACCACUACACACACUUAAUCCUGAUGUGUUGUAUUUACAAAAAGACCGUCGAUGGUCAUGCGUCAUUUUUACAGCACUAGAAUGUGUUUGUUUUUGAACCCAGAAUGCAUCUGUCUAUCAGCAAACGUGAAGUAUUUUGUAAAGGAAACCAAAUGUCUACUACUGAAUGACAGAAAAGCCAUCUGUGUGUCCAAAACGAGUAUAGUAGCUUGAAUUAAAUUAUUUUGUUCUCAGCCCAAAUGUAAAUAAUGUUAACUAAAUACUUUUAUUAUUAUUAUUAUGAAGUUGAUUUGUGUUUUCUAUAUACCAUGCGUGUACUCACCUUAACUAUUCAGCCCAUGUUCCCUUUCUGUAAUCAGCAAAGAAUAUAAACUUUCUGCGAAGGUACAACAAAUAAAAAAAAGAAAGAAUUGCUACUAUUAAA